rnacentral:rRNA from 1 species
CUUCAUGAAGCUGGAAUUGCUAGUAAUGGCAGGUCAGCAUACUGCCGUGAAUACGUUCCCGGGCCUUGUACACACCGCCCGUCACACCAUGAGAGUUGGGGAUACCCGAAGCCUGUGAGCUAACUUAUAGAGGCAGCAGUCGAAGGUAGAAUCAAUGAUUGGGGUGAAGUCGUAACAAGGUACC